rnacentral:tmRNA from 1 species
GGGGGCGAUCGGUUUCGACUGGGAUGGCAGAAGUGAAGCUGCGCGUCGAGGUGGUCCGGGCCCUCGUAAAAUACCUGGACGGCGAAUAACCGCCAACACACAGUACGCUUACGCUGCCUAGAUAGCAGCGUACGUUCACCCGGGAGUGCCGGCGAUCCGGGAUGGACGCUAACAGCCGGCUCACUGCUCGAUGCAAUGCUCGGGCGCCGGGCAGGACACCUAACGGGCUGGCGUCUAGCGGAUCCGGCUCAGGGGAGCUUCUGGACGCGAGACUCAAAGCCUGAGACACACGCGUAGACGCUUUGCUCUCGCAAUCCUAGGACGCGGGUUCGAUUCCCGCCGCCUCCACCA